GAUUUACUACACAUUAUUUUCAAGCAGUUAGGAAAUUAAGGGGCAUGUAAUCAGACAGAUUUCUUGGAGCAGGGUAUCAGGGAUAAUUAAGCAAAUGCAAACCAGAAGGCAUGUUGGUUUCAGUUACAUAAUCAGCCUAAUUGCAACAGUAAAGAGCAGUCAUAGAGCAGAGUUCUUAUAAGUUACUGGAUCAAAAUGGGCAGCCCAGGGGUCUACCUUCAAACAGUAUAAAAGGGGGAUACAUAUAUCAUAUACAGGGGAGAGGAGAGAAGACACUUGAGACAAGGCAGCUAUAUUUAUACAUAACCUGUCACAACUCAGCAAAAGGAGAGAGGCAUAAAAGAGCAAGCGGAGAAAGCAUACUACCAUCCAUAGCACAUCCAUAACACACGGCACAUUCAAGAGGGCAUCAAGAGUUUGCGUAUCUUACACAACAUACAGAGAACAAAGAUAGAGAAAAGAGAACAUCUUGGAACGAAGAUUCAACAUGCAGAAGGAUAAAGGAACAAAGCAUAAUCAGGUAAGUCACCCAUCCUAUUUAUUCAAGUGCUAGUAAACAUAAAUGAACCUUACUCAUUGCGAACCACGUAUCCUUAUGCUCAUAUCACUAACAUAAGUCGAGGGUUUACUCCCUAAUGAUUUUUUUAUUUAUUCAAAUAACAUAAUGAGCAUAGUUAUGAUAGUUCUAAUAUGAAGAAAAUCAUGAUUUUUUACUAGUGCAAUACUAACACAGCAGCCAUAACAAGUCUGGAACUAAAUAGUAUACCCCUUUUGAGUUUAACGUGUUCUGUACACAUCUAAUUAAAAAUCAUACAAAUAAAACGCAUAUUUUUCAUUCAUUUGGCUUCAACAGAGACGUGCAUAUCAAUAUGAAGUAUACGAUGCAGCGAUAUAAUAUUAAGACAUAGGGUUCAUUUCUGGAUAAUCUUUAGCCUAAAUCGGUUAUGUAUGACAAACCAUUUUCGUACUGUAAAAAAUCAAAUAGCAAAAGGGGUAAUUUUCUUACCGAAACCCCUCGCUUAUGUCGAUUCGGAACCACCGUGAAUCGCCUGAGAAUGAAAAGUUGUGAGAAAUAAAUAAGACAUAGAAUAUAACAUGGGUUAUGGUUAAAGGAAAGUAAAAAUGGAGAUAGAUAAUCACCAAUUCUUCUCCACUGCGACUCCAACUUCAUCAACCGAACCACCAUGAGCCACCCUAGAGAGGAAUCGAACCACCGCAACUCAGUGAGGAAGAAGCUAGGGAUUCGGUUCCCGUUACCACCUUGUCACGAUGAGAAAGGAGAGGAAAUUGAGGCCAUCACACCUCAAUACCAUUGCUGAUUGGAAAGAGAGAAGUAAGAAGAGAUGAGUGAUGAAAACCAAAGAGAUUGGGAAGGAAUGAGGACCUUUUUUCGGCCGUGAAUGAGAACCGAACCACCGUAAGCCCCGAUGAUUCUUAAUCACCGCUACCGCAACGCUUCAAGCCGAGACACCACCGAAGAAGAGAAAAGAGGGAGAUUUCGUUCGAUGCGUCUCGAAGAGAAAGGGAUUCUCUUCGUCGAUCCCCUCCAACANN
rnacentral:lncRNA from 1 species